UACGGAGGGUGCAAGCGUUAUCCGGAUUCACUGGGUUUAAAGGGUGCGUAGGUGGGUUGGUAAGUCAGUGGUGAAAUCUCCAGGCUUAACUUGGAAACUGCCAUUGAUACUAUUAGUCUUGAAUACCGUGGAGGUCAGCGGAAUAUGUCAUGUAGCGGUGAAAUGCUUAGAUAUGACAUAGAACACCAAUUGCGAAGGCAGCUGGCUACACGAAUAUUGACACUGAUGCACGAAAGCGUGGGGAUCAAACAGG
rnacentral:rRNA from 1 species